GACCGGACUGACGGAUUCGUUGUCAUGCCCCGUUACAAGUGCUCUUAUUAGUUAGGAGGAGGAAGAGACGUUGCUUAGGGGACACGCAUCACACCUGGAAGUCUCCUACUCUCUUUCUUCUCUAUCUCUCUCCCGUCUUGGUUUGGUGAAAUCCGUGGGUUUGGAAUCCAAAUCGUCGUGAUUGAUCGUCGAGGACGAAUCAGUGGGCGAUUCCGUUAGCUAUGGUGGGGUGGGUGAUAGCGUUACACGGCGGCGCCGGAGCCAUUCCGAUCAAUCUCCCUGACGAGCGACGUAUCCCUCGCGAGACCGCCCUCCGUCACUGCCUCGAUCUCGGCGUUCCGCCCUCAAAUCCGGCAAACAUCCACUUGACGUCACCGAACUCGUCCAAUGGAUCAGACAGAGGAGUAUGUCAACGGCCAGCUCAAGAACAAAUACGGUGAUGCCUUGGCGCUUAGAGAUGAGUACUUUGCUGUUGAUGAUGAUGAAGAAGAAGCUGCUGCGUUGGCGCUUAGAGAUGAUGAGAUUCGAUCACAAAGCAUUUAUAGCUCUCGGCUUUGUUGCGUUAAGAGCUGAUGGAGAGAGGGAGCUUCUGUUCUUCAGACACCCAAGUGCUGAUAUGCUUCUUACGGAAGCUGAGCUUGACAAGAACUUAAUCCAAAAGUAUGUAGUUAACUGAGAUGACUUAUGUAAAUCUUCAACUAAACCCUGAGAUGAUGAUCAUCAUCAUCAGCUUGCCAAGAAACUAACAGCCGUUGACCUUGUUGCUAUUGGAGUUGGAACAACAAUUGGAGCAGGAGUGUAUAUUCUAGUGGGAACAGUAGCUAGACAACACACAGGACCUGCUCUUGCUGUAUCGUUCUUCAUCGCUGGAGUAGCAGCUGCUCUCCGCUUGUUGCUAUGCUGAGCUUGUUCUUAUUGUCCAUCUGCUGGCAGUGCUUAUCAUUAUGCUUACAUCUUCUUGGAGAAGGCUUACUAACCGAGUAGCAAACAUCGAAUCGUACACGUGUCAUAGCGGCCACGAAACGGGAAGGUCCUUCUAGUUCCAACAACAGUAACGACGCAGCAAGCAGAGAUGCAAAGGAAAACAAUGCGCUCUAAAACAUUCAGUCACAGAAUCAAUUAAAGGCAUAUACAUGAUGAUGAUCAUUGUUUAUAGCUUUCGUCCUAAAAACCAAACAGGUGAGGUACUAGAAAGGUCAUUCCACUUGGAACAUUCCUAUUGGCAACCAUUGGGAAGUUUAACAAAACGGUGCUGAAACUUCAAUCAAACAACACAAGAAUACACCAAGAGGUGUUUUACAGGUCACUGUUAUGUUUAGUUUAAGUUGGAUGUGUUUGUCUGGUUUUAGCGCCAUAUCUCAAAAUUCAGUAAUUGAAGUUGUAUUCUGUAUCAUUUAGAUGUCUGUGAUUACAUUGUAUGCUCUAUCAAUCGCAUAUUGCAGGCAAAAUAAAUACUAAAACUACCUUAA